CCCUGAGGAAGUUGGUUACACGUGG
rnacentral:piRNA from 1 species